CCCUAAGAUUACUUAAAUUUGAUCCCAACCAUUCAAUUGUUUAAUAGUUGAAUAUAGGCAACUGGGUUAACUCGUUAAGGCCUCUCACUCUUUCAUCUCUCACUCCAUUGCUCUCGCUAUCCGUCUGCUCUCACUCCACUGGUCCUCCAUUUGCUGCUCUCACUGCCUAGGUCUCAUCCCACUCACCAGCAACCGAGCAAUGAGCAUGCACUUCUCCAGGCAGGGACGACGAUGGCCAGUGUGAGUUUUGCUCCGUCGAGUUCCAUUUGAGGGCCAAAUGUAUCGAUGAUCAAACCCUAGAUGUCACCAGCAAGGACCUUUACAGCUCCAACCACACCAUUGUUCCAGUUGAUUUCUCUGAUUUCAGCUCUGGUUUUGACAAUUCCGAACAGAGGGAUGGGAAGAAGGCGAAGGCCUUGGGAAAGAGAAGCGAGGGAUCAAAGGAUAUGUCAGAGUUAAGAACAAACAGGACAUUGCAGCUUCUUCUUUUUUUUUUGUUGUUGUUGCUCUUUGUUUCUUUGAUUUUUUGUUUAUUCAUCAAAUUCAUGCUCUAUUUUGUUGCCUAGAACAUAAAGUUUAUUUAUUUUAAUUGUCUUCUGAAUCAAAGGAGCUAAUAAGCUUAACCUUGUUGUGGGAUGAGUUUUUCAUAAAUAAGGAGUUCAUGACAUUUGACAGUUCGAUAGGUACUGGGACAUAAUUGUUCAAAAUUACAACAGGUAUUGGUGCAGAUGAGGGCAUUUGAUUCAUCACAGUUUACAGCAUCCUCAAGAGAUUGAAAGUAAAGCUGCAGGAAUCAAGGAUAAAGCUGUUGAAAAGGAUGAUGUUCAAUAGGUUGAUACCGAUGUCACCUUAGACACUAAUACUGUUGUUAAGUCUACUCGACCCUAAGGAAGGUAUAAGAAAAGAGAGGAAACUUGUCUGUGCAUAUUCUUCUGAGGAUCUUGGAGGAAUACUUGUGAGUUACUAACCUUAGUAACUUAGGUCCCCAAGUUUUUUCGUAUAGAGUUGAUUGAAACAGGUAUUGUGAGGGGAGGGGUUUGAAUUCAAUUCCUUGGAAAAUGGGGGUAAUGUCUAGGCGGGUUUUACCCAUUUGUGGUAAAGUCUGUUUCUUCUAUCCUUCCCUGCGGGCAAGGUCGAGACAGCCCGUGAAGCGGUACAAAAAUCUUUUUGCUGAUAUCUUCCCUCGGUCUCAGGUGUUUUAGAUGCCUUAUUGAAGUCAGAACCAUGGUUCAUUCAAUUAAGAGAUGAAGGAAGGACUCCACUUCACUUGAUUGCAUGAUUGGGCUAUCUUGAAGAGGUUCAGUACUUGUUAGGAAGACACAGUUCAGGUGCUAUUGCAAGGGACAACAAUGGCUUACUUCCUAUUCAUUUAGCAUCAAUUAAAGGUCACAUUGAUGUUGUCCGGGCAUUGCUUCAGUAUUGGCCUGAUUCGAGGGAACUGCUCAAUUGUCAUGGUCAAAAUAUUCUUCAUGUUGCUGCCAAGAGCAGAGGACAUAACAUGGUUAGUUACAUUCUCCAAACUCCUGAGCUCGAGAAGCUUUAUAAACAUGAGGGGGAUAAGCAUGGAAACACACCCUUGCAUUUGGCCACCAUGGACUGGCAUCCACAGAUUGUAUGCACACAUAGAGGAAGUGCAAUGCACAUUUGUUUUAUGUGCACAUAGGAAAACUGUAAUAUCAGUGAAAUUCAAUGCGACAAGUGUAAGGGAAAGGCAAGUAUGUAUCAAAUUUCUCUACCCAUUGUACAAUGACACAGAAAAUUAGGGACAUUUGAUAAUGCAACUCAAUUUUUCUUUUAAAUUUGACCUUGUAAACAAUUAUUAAUGAAUAUACUAGAAUCUUGAAUAAGAA